UACGUAGGGUGCGAGCGUUAAUCGGAAUUACUGGGCGUAAAGCGUGCGCAGGCGGUGAGCUGUGUCCGAUGUGAAAGCCCCGGGCUUAACCUGGGAAUGGCAUUGGAAACUGGCUCGCUGGAGUGUGGCAGAGGGGGGUGGAAUUCCGCGUGUAGCAGUGAAAUGCGUAGAGAUGUGGAGGAACACCGAUGGCGAAGGCAGCUCGCUGGGACGGUACUGACGCUGAGACGCGAAAGCGUGGGGAGCAAACAGG
rnacentral:rRNA from 1 species